CGCUCCUCCGUCACGCGCCUCCUUCGUCACGCAACUCCCGGCUUCCCGGCUCGCGGGCCCGCUGACGUCACGCGACGCCCCGGCGGCCCCGCCCCCGCGCCCCGCUGAUUGGCGGCUGAGCGCUGUGAUGGACAGAGAAACAGAUGUAAUGGGAAAACAGGAAAACCUGCAGUGAUAGACCAAGACAGCUGCUUGAAGAAAACCCCACUUCAUUAGAGCUAUUGAGACCCCCUUAAUGAUGAAGACUUUAAAGUUACAGUCCUUCGGUGUAUUGCACCAACGUAAAGGACUCUGGGGCGGGGAGGUGUGUUCAGGUCCCGGAACAUGAUGGCAGAGGAGGACCUGGGCUGGAGGUUAUGUGGGAAAAAAAUGUUACACAUGGACCAACUACUAUAUUUUACUGUCGACUGUAAACCAUUAAUCCCCCUAAAUAAAGGGAAUAAAUAAAUAAAUAAAACCAAAGUUACAAUCCUAA